CAGCAGGUCAGAGUGUACCUGUAUACAGGCUCCAGUCUGGUCUACAGAGACAGCAGGUCAGAGUGUACCUGUAUACAGGCUCCAGUCUGGUCUACAGAGACAGCAGGUCAGAGUGUACCUGUAUACAGGCUCCAGUCUGGUCUUUACAGAGACAGCAGGUCAGAGUGUACCUGUAUACAGGCUCCAGUCUGGUCUUUACAGAGACAGCAGGUCAGAGUGUACCUGUAUACAGGCUCCAGUCUGGUCUUUACAGAGACAGCAGGUCAGAGUGUACCUGUAUACAGGCUCCAGUCUGGUCUUUACAGAGACAGCAGGUCAGAGUGUACCUGUAUACAGGCUCCAGUCUGGUCUUUACAGAGACAGCAGGUCAGAGUGUACCUGUAU